UAACUGAAUCCAUAGGUUAAUGAGGCGAACCGGGGGAACUGAAACAUCUAAGUACCCCGAGGAAAAGAAAUCAACCGAGAUUCCCCCAGUAGCGGCGAGCGAACGGGGAGGAGCCCAGAGCCUGAAUCAGCAUGUGUGUUAGUGGAAGCGUCUGGAAAGGCGCGCGAUACAGGGUGACAGCCCCGUACACAAAAGCGCAUGUGCUGUGAGCUCGAUGAGUAGGGCGGGACACGUGGUAUCCUGUCUGAAUAUGGGGGGACCAUCCUCCAAGGCUAAAUACUCCUGACUGACCGAUAGUGAACCAGUACCGUGAGGGAAAGGCGAAAAGAACCCCGGCGAGGGGAGUGAAAAAGAACCUGAAACCGUGUACGUACAAGCAGUGGGAGCACAGGUUUACCUGUGUGACUGCGUACCUUUU
rnacentral:rRNA from 1 species